rnacentral:rRNA from 1 species
CCUACGGGAGGCAGCAGUAGGGAAUUUUCGUCAAUGGGCGCAAGCCUGAACGAGCGAUGCCGCGUGAGUGAAGAAGGCCUUCGGGUCGUAAAGCUCUGUUGCGGGGGAAAAAAGGCAGCAUCAGGAAAUGGGUGCUGACUGAUGGUGCCCCGCAGGAAAGUCACGGCUCACUACGUGCCAGCAGCCGCGGUAAUACGUAGGUGGCGAGCGUUAUCCGGAAUGGUUGGGCGUAAAGGGUGCGCAGGCGGUCCUGCAAGUCGGUAGUGAAACGCAUGGGCUCAACUCAUGCAUGGCUUUGGAGACUGGAGGACUUGAGAGCAGUAGAGGGCGGUGGAACGCGAGGUGUAGCGGUAAAAUGCGUAGAUAUCUGGAAGAACACCAGUGGCGAAGGCGGCCGGCUGGCCUGUUGCUGACGCUGAGGCACGAAAGCGUGGGGAGCAAAUAGGAUUAGAUACCCCUGUAGUC